GGGAUUGCCCUAGUAACGGCGAGUGAAGCGGCAAUAGCUCAAAUUUGAAAUCUGGCCUCCUUUGAAGGUCCGAGUUGUAAUUUGUAGAGGGUGCUUUGGUGUUGUCGGCGGUCUAAGUUCCUUGGAACAGGACAUCACAGAGGGUGAGAAUCCCGUUUGUGGUCGCCAGCCUUCACCGUGUAAAACCCCUUCGACGAGUCGAGUUGUUUGGGAAUGCAGCUCUAAAUGGGAGGUAAAUUUCUUCUAAAGCUAAAUACCGGCCAGAGACCGAUAGCGCACAAGUAGAGUGAUCGAAAGAUGAAAAGCACUUUGGAAAGAGAGUCAAAUAGCACGUGAAAUUGUUGAAAGGGAAGCGCUUGCAGCCAGACUUGCCCGUAGUUGCUCAUCUGGGCUCUUGCCCAGAGCACUCCUCUGCGGGCAGGCCAGCAUCAGUUUGGGCGGCUGGAUAAAGGCCUCUGUCAUGUAUCUCCCUUCGGGGUGACCUUAUAGGGGAGGCGUAAUGCAGUCAGCCCGGACUGAGGUCCGCGCAUUAGCUAGGAUGCUGGCGUAAUGGCUGUAAGCGGCCCGUCUUGAAACACGGACCAAGGAGUCUAACAUCUAUGCGAGUGUUUGGGUGUCAAGCCCGAGCGCGCAAUGAAAGUGAACGGAGGUGGGAACCCUCUUUCUUGGGGGUGCACCAUCGACCGAUCCUGAUGUCUUCGGAUGGAUUUGAGUAAGAGCAUAGCUGUUGGGACCCGAAAGAUGGUGAACUAUGCUUGAAUAGGGUGAAGCCAGAGGAAACUCUGGUGGAGGCUCGCAGCGGUUCUGACGUGCAAAUCGAUCGUCAAAUUUGGGCAUAGGGGCGAAAGACUAAUCGAACUAUCUAGUAGCUGGUUCCUGCCGAAGUUUCCCUCAGGAUAGCAGUAACGUAUUCAGUUUUAUGAGGUAAAGCGAAUGAUUAGAGGCCUGGGGGUUGAAACAACCUUCACCUAUUCUCAAACUUUAAAUAUGUAAGAAGUCCUUGUUACUUGAUUGAACGUGGA
rnacentral:rRNA from 1 species